AUCUCCCGCCGUUGAUUAGGGGGCUCGACGAAGACUAUGGUACAAGUAGUGAAUCGGGAAACCAAAUCUCUCAGUCGAGAGACUCCUGUACCGGAAUACCUUCACCUUCACCUUCUGCUUCUUCCCGGGAGUGUUUGUGAGAUCGCACGGCUUUGACUUGCAGGGAAAAGAGUGGAAUUACGCUGUUCACCCGGAUAAGUACUCCAUCGUCUUAACCAAGUUCAUGAUGAUGAAACAAGACGAUCUCUUCGAGUAUAGCUGCAAUGGAGGUAUGGAGAUGGAGGAGAUGAGGGGGAUUGUCGACCAGAUGCGCAACUGCUAGGAUAUACUGAUGAAUUUCGUAGCUUCAGACAAGCUGAGAGCAGGUCCAAUCAUGGUGGGAGCAGAGAGAGUUAGGGAUUGGGGUGAUGCGCGUAACGAAGAAGGAGAAGAGCAAGUGGAGAAUGGGGUAAGAGAAGUUGGGUUGAGCAGUAGAAGAGUAGAACACAGGAAGAGAAGAGGGAGAUGCAUUAGGGAGUUUCAUAGAGUGUUGGGGAAGAUCCCAUUGAUGUAUAGUUAUGGUAAGGUUGUCAACUCUGUUGGAGAAUAAGGCUUGUGUUUUGUGACCAAGACUGAACCAGCCUUUUUAGAAUCGUGACAUCGUGUAAUAGCAUUAUAGCAACUAGCUAGAUAAGCAAACAUGUAAACCAAAUGCUUCAAGGUAAAGAAGUAAGAGUUAUUCUUGAAGAUAAAAUAACACAAUCUUAUUGGUUGGUGAACCUA